UCUAAACUUGACAAGUCUGACGACAUGUCAAAGGACGGCUUAAUGCUUCAGCCGUCGCUAAUCUCUGCUAGGAAACGUGUUCGAAACAUUGGCACUAAGAGCAAGCGACUGCUCAUUGAUAGCGUAGAUGUUCUGGAACUGAGAUUAACCUGGGAGGAGGCGCAGGAACUGCUGCGGCCUCCUCAGUCUGCUAAACCGAGCAUAUGUACAGUUGAAGAUCACGAUUUUGAAGAAUACGAUGUGAGUUGAUAGAGUCUACCUGUUUUUCACAAAAGCAGCUGGAUCUUUGCACUGUAGUUUCUGAAAUUAUUUACUUGAUGGUACUCAGGAACCACCAGUUUUUGGGAAGAGGACAGUGUUUGUGUCACGUCAAACAGGGUGAGGCCUCAUGUACUGUGUAAUGAUAGGAUCAGAAGAUGUUAAAUCACACUUUGAAUGAAUUAUUUGGAAUAAAUCGUUAGGCGGUUUAUAUUAGAUUAUUGAUUAGGUCGGUGUCUAGACCGAUUUUUUAAAUGCCUAGACCAAUAUUUUAAAAAAAAUGUUCUAGAAAAAUUGUUUUGCAUGUCCGAUUUGCCGACUAGUGGGACGCCUAGGCUCAGCUAUACCGAGUUUUAGAACACUAUUUGGCUCUAAUAUGUGAUCCUUGGAUUCUCAGGGAACAAGAGCAAUGGGUUCAGUGUGAUGCUUGUGCUAAAUGGCGACGGCUUCCUGUGGAUACUCUUCUUCCACCAAAAUGGUUGUGCUCGGAUAAUGUCUUGGAUCCUGGCAGGUAAACGAGACUGCAUACAUGUUCAUGUGCUUAACCUACAGGACAUUGCACAUGACUCCUCACUGAGACAAAUAAUAUGACUUGCUGUUUUUUUAUCUACAGGUCUUCAUGUUCUGCACCUGAUGAACUCACCCCAAGAGAACAGGAUACACUUCUCCGGCUAAGCAAAGGUAAUGAUCAGUAUGCUUCAUUAGAAACUUUUUUUUUUACAUUAGAAACUAAAGUUUCAUUUGCACAGAGUUCAAAAGGAGGAGACUGGCAUCAUCAAACCAGGAGGAGGCCUCUGCUCUAGACACUUUAGCAAAUGCAGCCAUCACCACUACAGGUGAACAAGGAGAAACCGAGGUUGCAGCCACGACCAAGCACCCAAGACACCGAGCUGGCUGUUCGUGCAUUGUCUGCAGCCAGCCGCCGAGUGGGAAAGGCAAACACAAGCCGUCAUGCACUUGCACUGUGUGUGAGGCGGUGAAGAGGCGGUUCAAGACGCUCAUGAUGCGGAAGCGAAACAGAGGAGAAGCAGGGCAGGCAAGCCAGCAGGCGCAGUCAGAUCAGUGCAGAGAGGAGACAGAAGCUGAGAGCAUUCCAGCGGUUGAACUGCCAGCGGCAGGGGGGAUUAACCUGGGAGGAGGCGCAGGAACUGCUGCGGCCUCCUCAGUCUGCUAAACCGAGCAUAUGUACAGUUGAAGAUCACGAUUUUGAAGAAUACGAUGUGAGUUGA
rnacentral:lncRNA from 1 species